GCAAAUGGUGCAUGGAGGAUUGUCGUCACAAAUGUGACUGGUCACACCUGUGCUGUGCAUGUAAGUGUAUAUACCAUUUGGCAAGUGUUCUGAAGAGGGCCUUUCUUUUCAGGACAUGCAUUUCGAAGGAGAAAACCCUUGGUUAAUUUCAUAUUAGGGGUGAGCAUUUGUUCAUUUGGGUCAGUUAUGACCCCAAAAAAAACACAAUGAAACUGAAUUUGCAAAAACUGGAAUAUUCAAAUGGGACCUGACCGAGCCAGCUAAAAAAUGACUAGUUUCAGGUUGGUUUGAUUCGGUUAUUUUUUAGCUCAAACCUCAAAUAGCCAUUUUUAAAGGGUAAUUAUGGAUAGGCCAUUUUUCUGAAAUACUCAAUUGGCCCAUACCAGGGACGAUAACCAGGGUUUUGGUUGCUGACCCUAAUCGACCCUGGCUUAAAUUUAAAUUUCAUAGAACUUCAGGAAAAACUGAACUGAACCGCCAUAUAUUAGAAAAUUUCAUCCAAACCUACCCGAGAUACUUGUGAGGAUGGCUCAUUCUCCAACUUGCUCCUGUAAUUCUUGUCAACUUGCUCCUGUAAUUCUUUUCAGACAUUUAUAUAAUUUUCUUUUAUCUGAAAAAAUAACUAUCUGGUGAUAUGACUUUCAGAUAUACCGGGAACUCGAGCAUACCAGCAAGCAGAAAGUGGUGUACCAUUCAAUCUCUGUGCAUGGUCCUCUGCAUCUUGUACCAGUGAAUGCACACUAUCAACCUUUGGGAUCACUUGAUCGAAAACGUCUGUUGGCAAGGAGAAGCAGCACCACUUACUGCUACGAUUUUCCAUUGGUGAGUCCUGCAUUGUGUGCUUGAAAACAACAGAAGUUACUUAUUUUCUUUAAGCUAAAAAAUAAAAAGACAAGUCAAAUUAUGUUGCUGACAUAUAUCUUUUGCGCUCAGGCUUUUGAGACAGUCUUGGAACAAAUAUGGGCAUCCCAAUUUUCAGGUAUGAAAAAACCUAAGGAUAAAGUUAUAAAGGUGACAGAGCUCGUAUUUGCUGAUGAAAAAGGUAGCUGGGGUACACCUCUUGUUUCCUUGGAGCGUCCAGCUGGGCUCAAUGAUUUUGGCAUGGUAGCUUGGUGCAUGGAAAUACUAACUCCUGAGUUCCCUUUGGGAAGGACAAUUUUGGUAGUAGCAAAUGACGUGACCUUCAAAGCGGGGUCUUUUGGCCAAAGAGAGGAUGCAUUCUUUCUUGCAGUGACUGAUCUUGCCUGCAAUAAGAAAAUUCCACUGAUUUAUUUGGCAGCGAACUCAGGUGCCCGUAUUGGGGCUGCUGAUGAAGUCAAAUCCUGCUUUAAAGUUGGUUGGUCAGAUGAAGUUUUCCCCGAUCGUGGCUUUCAGUAUGUAUAUUUAAGUCCUGAGGAUCAUGCUCGGAUUGGAUCAUCAGUGAUAGCGCAUGAAUUGAAGCUGGAGAAUGGAGAAACAAGAUGGGUGAUAGAAGCCAUUGUUGGGAAGGAGGAUGGCCUGGGGGUAGAGAAUUUAUCUGGAAGUGGGGCCAUUGCUAGUGCUUAUUCUAGAGCAUACAACGAAACCUUUACCUUGACUUAUGUGACUGGCAGAACUGUAGGAAUUGGUGCUUAUCUCACUCGGCUUGGAAUGCGGUGCAUACAGAGGCUUGAUCAGCCCAUUAUUUUAACCGGUUUUUCUGCUUUAAACAAACUU
rnacentral:lncRNA from 1 species